AGGGUUCAAACCCUGAAUGUGACGUUAAUGACGCCGAAACAUAAGCAGCCGUAUAUUUCUGUACAGCGCACCGAUGAAUCAGGCAUUUUGAAUCAAUCAGAUGAUUAUCCGGUUUUGUUUGCGGACAAUAAGUGUGUUUUAUUAGGACAGUAUAACGAUACUGAAGCACCAGGUCGAACCGGCUGCAUGUUAUGGGUGCGAGAAUCCGCGCUUGGCAAUUCUCUGAAGCAAUGCAAUUUUAUAUUGCUGGCUUUGUGCCACAUCCCUGUUUAUAACGCGUAUACGUAUGAAAGACCAUAUUGCAAUAUUUAUGAAUCAGGAUGACAAUAAAGAUUUCG